UAAUAUUGACCAGAUUAAAAUGGUUGAUAAGUCGUUUUUUCUUAAAGUGGCUGGACUAAUUGGGGGCACUGGUCUGCUUGCAUAUUCAGGCUAUAGGUUAUAUAAAUACAUUCAGUGGCGUAGAGAACUUGCUGAGUUCCGCUUGAGACAGAAAUUAGAUGAGGAGCGUGGGAUCGAUCGUACAUGGAGUGAGGAAGUAGAGUUUUUAGUAGCACAAGGUCAUGACCGCAAAAACAUUCAUAGUCAUAUGGCAUAAUGUAUUCAUUCAAUUCUGGGGGGACAACAAAAAUGAAGGGCAAAAUUGCAGGGUUGUAGCAUAGACUAGAAGUGGACGUAGAACAUAGAAAUUGUAGAUAUAGUUUGUAGAAUCCAUAGCCCAACUCGGCACAAUCGAUUCCACUCGACUCGUCUAAAUUCUGCCUUUUUCUUCAAUCAGCAAGUUGUCACGUCUCUGAAUGUUCGUUUCUGUAAUCUAUGGCACAGGAGCAAUCAGGUUUGGUCCCUCCAGUUAGUCCUAAAAGUGGAAGAGGAGUUACGUUUUCUGAUCCCAAUAGGGGGUCAGAAAAAAUAAAUAAAUAAAAAAAAUAAGACCUGAAAAGAAAUUGAAUGGUUUCAUUCAGACUGUAUGUGAAAACUAUGCCCAAAAGUUCAAGAAAGGAAGAAACUAGGAACAAAGGGCUGGUGAUGAACUUAGUUUUCUUGUCAUCAUCAUAUUAAUUUAAAAAGAAUUGAAAUUGAACAAUCAUGGUAUGGAGAUGGCAAGCGAAUUAUGACAUUAUUACAUCUACCAGAAUUUCUACAUCAUGAAGAUUGUUAAUACUUGUGGCCAACUUAAUCAAUUACACAUUUAAAUUCAUGAUAUUCUUCAUAUUUCAUUCAUGAUUUUGAUUCUAGGAUGGUGAUUUGGAUGUCAUUUUACAAAAUUAACAAUACCAUUUUCUGCCUAUUACCAAAAAAUAGCAAAAAUUUUCAGUAUAUUUAGAACUGCUGAAUUGACAUAGAGCUGGCAGAUGGCAGACAGAGUAUAACAAAAUUAAAUGUACAUUCUGGUAUUAACCAAUGCAAAUAGUAUAUUUAUAAAAAUUAUAACGUGCAAGUGUAAAAACAUUUUAGAACAAUUUCAUAAUUGGAUUUAUAUAUAACAAUUUUGGAUAUGGACUUGGUCGAUAGAUCAGCUCACCAUUUCCUGCUGUCCCAAAAAAAUCACAUAUUAAUGAAAAUUUACACUAAUACUAUGUCCAUUAUGGAGAAGAAAAUUUUAAAAGUCAAUAUAAUUUAUUAUUUUCAAUGUUGUUUUUCAUUUAUGAUGUCUACAUUAAUACAGAAAACACCAAAUUGUCAUUUAAUCAGUUUGCUCUUUGAAUAUAAUAAUUUAAUUUUCAAUUAAUUAAGGUUUUGGCAGAGAUAAAAAGGUUAGUGUUGGCGGGAUUCGAACCCACGACCUUCGGCUCAGUACACCGCUGCUCUACCACUUGAGAGUUCAA
rnacentral:lncRNA from 1 species